AGACUAUGGUGUGAGCAUUUUCUAAGAUGUUCCUUAAGUCUCUCCCAUGACUCAUAAAUCUGUUCUCCUGGAAGUUGAGAAAAUCUAGUGAUAGCUCGUCUCAUGGU